rnacentral:rRNA from 1 species
UGAACGCUGGCGGCAGGCCUAACACAUGCAAGUCGAGCGGUAACAGGAAGUAGCUUGCUACUUUGCUGACGAGCGGCGGACGGGUGAGUAAUGCCUGGGAAUUUGCCCAUUUGUGGGGGAUAACAGUUGGAAACGACUGCUAAUACCGCAUACGCCCUACGGGGGAAAGGAGGGGACCUUCGGGCCUUCCGCGAAUGGAUAAGCCCAGGUGGGAUUAGCUAGUAGGUGAGGUAAUGGCUCACCUAGGCGACGAUCCCUAGCUGUUCUGAGAGGAUGAUCAGCCACACUGGGACUGAGACACGGCCCAGACUCCUACGGGAGGCAGCAGUGGGGAAUAUUGCACAAUGGGCGAAAGCCUGAUGCAGCCAUGCCGCGUGUGUGAAGAAGGCCUUCGGGUUGUAAAGCACUUUCAGCGAGGAGGAAAGGUUAACGAUUAAUACUCGUUAGCUGUGACGUUACUCGCAGAAGAAGCACCGGCUAACUCCGUGCC